rfam:Gossypium hirsutum cultivar TM-1 unplaced genomic scaffold scaffold4087.1, whole genome shotgun sequence
UGUUAAAAAAUUUAUUUAUUUGUACGGUUAAAAAUGGGUGUGCUUGACAAGAUAAUCAAACAAUAACACGUGGUGUACCAUGUGUACAUCAUAUUGAUAUACAAUGACUAGUUUUUAAUUAUAGAAAUAGAUGAAACUUUUAAUA